GUACUGACCCACUAAGGCCCCUUGUACUGUUAAUGUGAAUAUUUGCAAUUAUAUAUGUCUCCUUCUGGUAGAGUGGGAUAUUAUGCCCUAGUAUCCCCUUUGCAUUACUGCAGGGGCUGCUGACUACUCAAAACUUCUCCUGGGACUGUUAAUAGGCACAAUGGCAGUUAUCAAUGGUUUUCUCCCUCCCUGACCUUGUUAAGCAAGCGCCCCACCCCACCCUUAGUUUCCCAUGGCAUAAUAAAGUAUAAGCAUUGGAGUAUUCCAUGCACUUGUCUAUCAAACAGUGGUCCAUACUCCCAACCCUUUUGCAUUGCGCCAGUGUGUAAAAUCACAGGUAGCCAUGGUGUCAUGCUUUAUAUACGAAGUCUUCCCUCUCUCUGCCCCUUGUGUGCCCUUGGCCCCUUUUUACAGACUAUUGCUCACAAUCUCAGGUGUCCAUAUUUGCAGCUAUUAGGUAAGAUUGUGCUGUCUCCCUCUUCCCUUCCCUCUGCCCUGCCCCUUUUGCCUCUUUGCUGGGUAAUGUUGACCAGACAAGGCCCUUUCUCUUGGACUUAAACAAUUCUCAGUUGCACUUUCCUUGGUCCCACCCAUUAUACAUGAACCCCUCUACUUCCUUUCGCAUUGCUUCUGAGUAUGCUGACUACCCAAAGCCCCUUCUGUGUUAUUAAUAAACACAGUACUGAUUGUCCCAUUUUUCAGCCCAUCAGUCCAAGAUCUCCCUACCACUUUGGUGUGUUGGUGCAGUGUUGACUAUGAAAAGCAGGCCUGAACUAGGUGGAUAAGCCUUCACUCAUUUUCUUUCAUUUAUUAAUGAUCCUAGUUUCAAUUAUUGUCAGAUUCUGGGGACAAGAACCAUUCUUGCCCACCUGUGUUACUGCUUUACUGUGCAAAAUACUGAAGGCAAGUCAGACCCAGGGAGCUGGAUUGCCAUCCUUUAUUUUGUGUUUCCAGUGUACACUAUAAAAUUGUCUCCCCAGGAAGGAAGGUUGGCACUUUCUCUGCAUUCUUCUUUCCAGAGCAGAUUGCCUGGUUAAGAAUCUCUUGUUGUCCCCUUUGUAUAUUGUUAUUGUAAAGUGCCAAAUGCCAGGAUACAGCCAGAAAAAUUGCUUAUUAUUAUUAAAAAAAUUUUUUUAAGAAAGACAUCUGGAUUGUAGGGUGGACUCGAUAACCUGGUCAUUAUUUUUUUGAAGCCAAAAUAUCCAUUUAUACUAUGUACCUGGUGACCAGUGUCUCUCAUUUUAACUGAGGGUGGUGGGUCUGUGGAUAGAACACUGACUCUUGCUAUUUUAAUAUCAAAGAUAUUCUAGAGUGGAACUCUUAAGACCAGUAUCUUUGUGUGGGCUUUACCAGCAUUCACUUUUAGAAAAACUACCUAAAUUUUAUAAUCCUUUAAUUUCUUCAUCUGGAGCACCUGCCCCUACUUAUUUCAAGAAGAUUGCAGUAAAACGAUUAAAUGAGGGAACAUAUGCAGAGGUGCUUUUAAAAAGCAUAUGCCACCUUUUUUAUUAAUUAUUAUAUAAAAUGAAGCAUUUAAUUAUAGUAAUAAUUUGAAGUAGUUUGAAGUACCACACUGAGGUGAGGACUUAAAAAUGAUAAGACGAGUUCCCUAUUUUAUAAGAAAAAUAAGCCAAAAUUAAAUAUUCUUUUGGAUAUAAAUUUCAACAGUGAGAUAGCUGCCUAGUGGAAAUGAAUAAUAUCCCAGCCACUAGUGUACAGGGUGUUUUGUGGCACAGGAUUAUGUAAUAUGGAACUGCUCAAGCAAAUAACUAGUCAUCACAACAGCAGUUCUUUGUAAUAACUGAAAAAGAAUAUUGUUUCUCGGAGAAGGAUGUCAAAAGAUCGGCCCAGCUCAGGGAGCAGUUUGCCCUACUAGCUCCUCGGACAGCUGUAAAGAAGAGUCUCUGGCUCUUUAGAAUACUGAUCCCAUUGAAGAUACCACGCUGCAUGUGUCCUUAGUAGUCAUGUCUCCUUAGGCUCCUCUUGGACAUUCUGAGCAUGUGAGACCUGAGGACUGCAAACAGCUAUAAGAGGCUCCAAAUUAAUCAUAUCUUUCCCUUUGAGAAUCUGGCCAAGCUCCAGCUAAUCUACUUGGAUGGGUUGCCAGCUAUCUGGAGAAAAAGAUCUUCCUCAGAAGAAUAGGCUUGUUGUUUUACAGUGUUAGUGAUCCAUUCCCUUUGACGAUCCCUAGGUGGAGAUGGGGCAUGAGGAUCCUCCAGGGGAAAAGCUCACUACCACUGGGCAACAACCCUAGGUCAGGAGGUUCUGUCAAGAUACUUUCCUGGUCCCAGAUAGGAAGAUAAAGUCUCAAAAACAACCACCACACGUCAAGCUCUUCAUUGUUCCUAUCUGCCAAAUCAUUAUACUUCCUACAAGCAGUGCAGAGAGCUGAGUCUUCAGCAGGUCCAAGAAAUUUGAACACACUGAAGGAAGUCAGCCUUCCCACCUGAAGAUCAACAUGCCUGGCACUCUAGCACUUGAGGAUAGCUGAAUGAAUGUGUAUUUCUUUGUCUCUUUCUUUCUUGUCUUUGCUCUUUGUUCUCUAUCUAAAGUGUGUCUUACCCAUUUCCAUGUUUCUCUUGCUAAUUUCUUUCGUGUGUGCCUUUGCCUCAUUUUCUCUUUUUGUUCACAAGAGUGGUCUGUGUCUUGUCUUAGACAUAUCUCUCAUUUUUCAUUUUGUUGCUAUUUCUCUUUGCUCUCCUAGAUGUGGCUCUUCUUUCACGCUUUAUUUCAUGUCUCCUUUUUGGGUCACAUGCUGUGUGCUUUUUGUCCUUUUCUUGUUCUGUCUACCUCUCCUUUCUCUGCCUACCUCUCUUUUCUCUUUGUGAACUGUGAUUAUUUGUUACCCCUUCCCCUUCUCGUUCGUUUUAAAUUUCACCUUUUUUCUGAGUCUGGCCUCCUUUCUGCUGUUUCUACUUUUUAUCUCACAUUUCUCAUUUCUGCAUUUCCUUUCUGCCUCUCUUGGGCUAUUCUCUCUCUCCUCCCCUGCGUGCCUCAGCAUCUCUUGCUGUUUGUGAUUUUCUAUUUCAGUAUUAAUCUCUGUUGGCUUGUAUUUGUUCUCUGCUUCUUCCCUUUCUACUCACCUUUGAGUAUUUCAGCCUCUUCAUGAAUCUAUCUCCCUCUCUUUGAUUUCAUGUAAUCUCUCCUUAAAUAUUUCUUUGCAUAUGUGGGCAAGUGUACGUGUGUGUGUGUCAUGUGUGGCAGAGGGGCUUCCUAACCCCUGCCUGAUAGGUGCAGAACGUCGGCUAUCAGAGCAAGCAUUGUGGAGCGGUUCCUUAUGCCAGGCUGCCAUGUGAGAUGAUCCAAGACCAAAACAAGGCCCUAGACUGCAGUAAAACCCAGAACUCAAGUAGGGCAGAAGGUGGAAGGCUCAUAUGGAUAGAAGGCCCAAAGUAUAAGACAGAUGGUUUGAGACUUGAGACCCGAGGACUAAGAUGGAAAGCCCAUGUUCCAAGAUAGAUAGAAGCCUCAGGCCUGAAACCAACAAAAGCCUCAAGAGCCAAGAAAACAGAGGGUGGCCUGAAUUGGACCGAAGGCCUGAGUUGGAUGGAAGUCUCAAGGCUUGAGUUAGAAGUCUUAAGACCUGGGACAGGACACAUGGAAGGCCUAAGAACUGAGACUUGUGACACAAGGCCAACGACCUAAGAUUAGCCCAGGGUUGUAGCUGGAAGACCUACAACCCAAGGAUGGAAGGCCCCUGUCACAAAGCCUACCUAGAUGGAUAGAGGACCCAAGCGAAAAAGGAGCAGACAUUCAUAUAGGUGAUACUGUAUUUCAGUCCUUUCUUUUGACCCCAGAAGCCCUAGACUGAGAAGAUAAAAUGGUCAGGUUGUUGGGGAAAAAAAAGUGCCAGGCUCUCUAGAGAAAAAUGUGAAGAGAUGCUCCAGGCCAAUGAGAAGAAUUAGACAAGAAAUACACAGAUGUGCCAGACUUCUGAGAAGCACCUGCCAGCAACAGCUUCCUUCUUUGAGCUUAGUCCAUCCCUCAUGAAAAAUGACUGACCACUGCUGGGCAGCAGGAGGGAUGAUGACCAACUAAUUCCCAAACCCCAGUCUCAUUGGUACCAGCCUUGGGGAACCACCUACACUUGAGCCACAAUUGGUUUUGAAGUGCAUUUACAAGUUUCUGGCAUCACUACCACUACUGAUUAAACAAGAAUAAGAGAACAUUUUAUCAUCAUCUGCUUUAUUCACAUAAAUGAAGUUGUGAUGAAUAAAUCUGCUUUUAUGCAGACACAAGGAAUUAAGUGGCUUCGUCAUUGUCCUUCUACCUCAAAGAUAAUUUAUUCCAAAAGCUAAGAUAAAUGGAAGACUCUUGAACUUGUGAACUGAUGUGAAAUGCAGAAUCUCUUUUGAGUCUUUGCUGUUUGGAAGAUUGAAAAAUAUUGUUCAGCAUGGGUGACCACCAGAAAGUAAUCUUAAGCCAUCUAGAUGUCACAAUUGAAACAAACUGGGGAGUUGGUUGCUAUUGUAAAAUAAAAUAUACUGUUUUGAAAACUUUGUAUUUUGAUGUGACAAUUUCUAACUCACUGUCCCUAA
rnacentral:lncRNA from 1 species